CCUGUCCUGCCCCAGGCACAAGGCACUCUCCAAGAGGCAGUUCUCACCUGACUGGAUUUCUGGGCCUGGUGCCUGCACCAGGAAACAGCUUUUGAGGACCUCUGGGAGCCAAGGAAAGCACUUGUAGCUUGAAGAGUGAAAACAUAAAUAGAAUGUGACCCUAACUUGAAAAACAUGAAUUCGAUCGCUUCUCA